GAUCUUUAUUGCUGAUUACAAAGGCAAUACAUGUGUGCUGGACAAAAAGCAAGUCUACCAUAGUCUACACCUACCCAAUCAAGACAAGAAGAAAAUUGCAAAAGCCCAUCAACAAAUGUUGGAAGAAAACACCACAAGUGGAUCGACAGCUGUUUGCCCAAAAUAGUUUAUUCAUCCACCCCAGCUUUGCUGAGUGUCAGCCAAGUGCCAAGCUAUUGGCAUACAUUGGAGAGUCUUCACUGCAUUGU